rnacentral:rRNA from 1 species
CAGCUCUCCGAGUAGUGUGGAUGUUUAUUGGGCCUAAAGCAUCCGUAGCUUGCUAAGCAAGUCCCCUGUUAAAUCCACCGAUUCAAUCGUUGGAUUGCGGGGGAUACUGUUUGGCUAGGGGACGGGAGAGGUCGACGGUAUUUCCGGGGUAGGGGUGAAAUCCUAUAAUCCCGGGAGGACCACCAGUGGCGAAGGCUGUCGACUAGAACGCGCCCGACGGUGAGGGAUGAAAGCUGGGGGAGCGAACCGGAUUAGAUACCCGAGUAGUCC